rnacentral:rRNA from 1 species
GUUGUAUGGUUAAGUGACUAAGCGUACACGGUGGAUGCCUUGGCAGUUGGAGGCGAUGAAGGACGUACUAACUUGCGAUAAGCCUAGUCAAGCCAGUAAGAGGCGCUUGAGACUAGGAUUUCCGAAUGGGGAAACCCACCUGCUUGCAGGUAUCGUUAACUGAAUACAUAGGUUAACGAGGCGAACGCGGAGAACUGAAACAUCUAAGUACCCGUAGGAAAAGAAAUCAACCGAGAUUCCGAAAGUAGCGGCGAGCGAAAUCGGACCAGCCCUUAAGCUUUAGUGUAGUUAGUGGAACAUGCUGGAAAGCAUGACGAAACAGGGUGAUAGUCCCGUACACAAAAACUUAUCUAAAGUGAAAUCGAGUAGGUCGGAGCACGUGAAACUUUGACUGAAUAUGGGGGGACCAUCCUCCAAGGCUAAAUACUCCCAACUGACCGAUAGUGAACCAGUACCGUGAGGGAAAGGCGAAAAGAACCCCUGUGAGGGGAGUGAAAUAGAACCUGAAACCGUGUACGUACAAGCAGUAGGAGCCUACUUGUUGGGUGACUGCGUACCUUUUGUAUAAUGGGUCAGCGACUUAUAUUCUGUAGCGAGGUUAACCAUUUAGGGGAGCCGUAGCGAAAGCGAGUCUUAACUGGGCGCUUAAGUUGCAGGGUAUAGACCCGAAACCCGGUGAUCUAGCCAUGGGCAGGUUGAAGGUUGAGUAACAUCAACUGGAGGACCGAACCCACUAACGUUGAAAAGUUAGGGGAUGACCUGUGGCUAGGAGUGAAAGGCUAAUCAAACCGGGAGAUAGCUGGUUCUCCCCGAAAUCUAUUUAGGUAGAGCCUCGGACGAAUACUUACGGGGGUAGAGCACUGUUAAGGCUAGGGGGUCAUCCCGACUUACCAACCCUUUGCAAACUCCGAAUACCGUAAAGUAAUAUCCGGGAGACACACGGCGGGUGCUAACGUCCGUCGUGGAGAGGGAAACAACCCAGACCGUCAGCUAAGGUCCCAAAGUGUAUGUUAAGUGGGAAACGAUGUGGGAAGGCUAAAACAGCUAGGAGGUUGGCUUAGAAGCAGCCACCCUUUAAAGAAAGCGUAAUAGCUCACUAGUCGAGUCGGCCUGCGCGGAAGAUGUAACGGGGCUAAACAUACCACCGAAGCUACGGCUGCAGACUUUGUCUGCGGGGUAGGGGAGCGUUCUGUAAGUGGCUGAAGGUGUGCCGGGAGGCAUGCUGGACAUAUCAGAAGUGCGAAUGCUGACAUGAGUAACGACAAGAGGAGUGAAAAACUCCUCCGCCGGAAGACCAAGGGUUCCUAUCCCAUGUUAAUCAGGGUAGGGUGAGUCGACCCCUAAGGCGAGGCUGAAGAGCGUAGUCGAUGGGAAACGGGUUAAUAUUCCCGUACUCGGUAUGAAUGCGAUGGGGGGACGGAGCAGGCUAGGCAAGCAUGGCGUUGGUUGUCCAUGUGAAAGGCUGUAGGCUGGUGACUUAGGAAAAUCCGGGUUGCCAAGGCUGAGAGUCGAGACGAGCCACUAAGGUGGUGAAGUUGUUGAUGCCCUACUUCCAGGAAAAGCCUCUAAGCUUCAGUUCAUACUGAAUCGUACCCUAAACCGACACAGGUGGUCAGGUAGAGAAUACUAAGGCGCUUGAGAGAACUCGGGUGAAGGAACUAGGCAAAAUUGUACCGUAACUUCGGGAGAAGGUACGCUCUUGUUUGUGAAGGACUUGCUCUGUAAGCAAACGAGAGCCGCAGUGACCAGGUGGCUGGGACUGUUUAUUAAAAACACAGCACUGUGCAAAAUCGUAAGAUGACGUAUACGGUGUGACACCUGCCCGGUGCCGGAAGGUUAAUUGAUGGGGUUAGCUUAGGCGAAGCUCUUGAUCGAAGCCCCGGUAAACGGCGGCCGUAACUAUAACGGUCCUAAGGUAGCGAAAUUCCUUGUCGGGUAAGUUCCGACCUGCACGAAUGGUGUAACCAUGGCCACGCUGUCUCCACCCGAGACUCAGUGAAAUUGAAAUCGCAGUGAAGAUGCUGUGUACCCGCGGCUAGACGGAAAGACCCCGUGAACCUUUACUACAGCUUGGCACUGAACAUUGACCCUACAUGUGUAGGAUAGGUGGGAGGCUUUGAAGCAGAGACGCUAGUUUCUGUGGAGCCGACCUUGAAAUACCACCCUUGUAGUGUUGAUGUUCUAACUUAGGCCCCUGAAUCGGGGUUGAGGACAGUGCCUGGUGGGUAGUUUGACUGGGGCGGUCUCCUCCCAAAGAGUAACGGAGGAGCACGAAGGUUUGCUAAGUACGGUCGGACAUCGUACGGUUAGUGUAAUGGUAGAAGCAAGCUUAACUGCGAGACAGACACGUCGAGCAGGUACGAAAGUAGGUCAUAGUGAUCCGGUGGUUCUGAAUGGAAGGGCCAUCGCUCAACGGAUAAAAGGUACUCCGGGGAUAACAGGCUGAUACCGCCCAAGAGUUCAUAUCGACGGCGGUGUUUGGCACCUCGAUGUCGGCUCAUCACAUCCUGGGGCUGAAGUCGGUCCCAAGGGUAUGGCUGUUCGCCAUUUAAAGUGGUACGCGAGCUGGGUUUAGAACGUCGUGAGACAGUUCGGUCCCUAUCUGCCGUGGGCGUUUGAGAAUUGAGAGGGGCUGCUCCUAGUACGAGAGGACCGGAGUGGACGAACCGCUGGUGUUCGGGUUGUGAUGCCAAUUGCAUUGCCCGGUAGCUACGUUCGGAACUGAUAACCGCUGAAAGCAUCUAAGCGGGAAGCAGGCCUCGAGAUGAGUUCUCACUUUGACUUAGAGUCAACUGAAGGGCCGUUGAAGACUACAACGUUGAUAGGCGAGAUGUGGAAGUGCUGUGAGGCAUUAAGCUAACUCGUACUAAUUACCCGUGAGGCUUAACCAUACAACGCCAAAGUGGUUU